ensembl:lncRNA
CAACGACAACAACUCUUCUGGAGCCGGAUGUAACAAGUUGGUGGAUGACCCUGCGUUGGAUCUCCUUUAUUCUAAUGUUGUGUUGUUUGGUAUCAACACGCAUUGCUGAGUGGAAGACAACGGCUGCGAGGAAAAUACGGCGGCAACAAUUUCAAUAUCUAAACUCAAACAUCUAGGAUUGAAAGUCAUCUCUGAUUUAUUGUAUGAUUUAUACUGAGCCUACCAAACUAUUCCUUCAGUGGACAUUCUGUCAGUGGGUGAAUUUACACUGAGAGAUGAAAUUAGUCAAAAUGUGGCUUUCAGCUUAUUUUUUUCUUAGUAUAAAUUAUUAAAACCUCAGUGGAUUUUGGUGCCGGGGCCCAAGAUCACUUUGGUCCAGACUUUUGAAUAUGGAAUUAUCUUAUAAUUGCUGCCUCUGGAGAAGUGAGGCUGUUGGCUUUCAUUCAAUAUAUUUGCAUUUCUUAUGUGGGGCGUCAUAGAGAUAUAUUUACAUGUAUUUCUUAUUUAAAAUUGUAUUUUUAACCACUAGUUUAUCUGGGUUUUUUUAUCAAAUCUACCAGCAAUGUAGUCCUCCAAAUAUCUAAAAAGUUGCAUAAUCAUAACACAAAAAUGAAACCCCAACUCUCUCUAAACAUUGACCAACACUAAAGUUGAAUUGGGUUUAUGGCCUGCUACAUUGCUUUAUAAUCUAAGAGCGGAUUACUGUGGUAGAUAUUUCACACAAGUAUACCAGUAUGUAGUUAGAUUAUUUAUAAGUGCAACAGAUAGAGAGGAUUUGAUCUGUAAAAUAAGCUGCAUUGAUGUUUGCGCUUUAAACACAAGGAAAAGACACCGAGAGCCACAACUCAUACACCUCUGUGCUCUGGGUUGGAGGAAUGGGGUUUACGGGGCCCCGGUCAGGCACAUGUCACUGAUUACCCUCCUAUAAACACCCACAAAUCUAAAUUAUGUUAAAAUCCCCCAGAAAAUCCGACUUCUUCCCUCAAAGAGGCAGUGGUGAUUUGUGAACCUUGUCGAGCAGAUUUCAUUACCUUGCUGGUUGUAGCAGCAAGAUAUUGGAUAAUUGUGUCUGCUGGUCUGUGCUUUCAGACAACAGCACAUAUAACCGCAUAUAUUCACAGUUAGAUUAGACAAAUAUGUACAAUCUAAUGCAAUAAACCUUGUUUCUGCAAAGAAUGUAAUGUUCCGAGUAUUUAGUCUCUGGCGGUGCUGUAUUAGAC